rnacentral:rRNA from 1 species
AACGAACGCUGGCGGCAUGCCUAACACAUGCAAGUCGAACGAGACCUUCGGGCCUAGUGGCGCACGGGUGCGUAACGCGUGGGAACCUGCCCUUAGGUUCGGAAUAACUCCCCGAAAGGGGUGCUAAUACCGGAUAAUGUCUUCGGACCAAAGAUUUAUCGCCUUUGGAUGGGCCCGCGUUGGAUUAGCUAGUUGGUAGGGUAAAAGCCUACCAAGGCGACGAUCCAUAGCUGGUCUGAGAGGAUGAUCAGCCACACUGGGACUGAGACACGGCCCAGACUCCUACGGGAAGCAGCAGUGGGGAGUAUUGGACAAUGGGCGAAAGCCUGAUCCAGCAAUGCCGCGUGAGUGAUGAAGGCCUUAGGGUUGUAAAGCUCUUUUACCCGGGAUGAUAAUGACAGUACCGGGAGAAUAAGCUCCGGCUAACUCCGUG